rnacentral:tRNA from 1 species
GCCCGCGUGGCCUAAUGGAUAAGGCGUUCGGUCUCCUAAACCGAAGAUUGCGGGUUCGAGUCCCGCCGUGGGUA